rnacentral:tRNA from 1 species
GGGGUUGUGGCUCAGUGGUAGAGUGCUCACCUUGCAUGUGUGAGGCACUGGGUUUGAUCCUCAGCACCACG